AUUUAAGUAUUUUAUUAAAAAUAAAGAUUUGUGGAGUCUUAGAUACUAAAAUUAUAGUCUUAAAUU
rnacentral:tRNA from 1 species